GGCAGCAGGCGCGCAAAUUACCCACUCCCAGCACGGGGAGGUAGUGACGAAAAAUAACGAUACGGGACUCAUCCGAGGCCCCGUAAUCGGAAUGAGUACAAUUUAAAACUUUUUCCGAGGAUCAAUUGGAGGGUAAGUCUGGUGCCAGCAGCCGCGGUAAUUCCAGCUCCAAUAGCGUAUAUUAAAGUUGUUGCGGUUAAAAAGCUCGUAGUCGAAUCUGUGUCCCGCGCCGCUGGUUCAUCGCUCGCGGUGUUCAACUGGCGUGUUUCGCGGGACGUCCUGCCGGUGGGCGCUCGUAUCGUUUCGGCGGUGCGUGGCCCAGCUCGUAGCCGUCUCGCGCGGUUGCGAAUCUCAUCGCGGUGCUCUUUAUUGAGUGUCGAGGUGGGCCGGCACGUUUACUUUGAACAAAUUAGAGUGCUUAAAGCAGGCCAAUUUUGCCUGAAUAUUGUGUGCAUGGAAUAAUGGAAUAGGACCUCGGUUCUAUUUUGUUGGUUUUCGGAACCCCGAGGUAAUGAUUAAUAGGAACGGAUGGGGGCAUUCGUAUUGCGACGUUAGAGGUGAAAUUCUUGGAUCGUCGCAAGACGGACAGAAGCGAAAGCAUUUGCCAAAAACGCUUUCAUUGAUCAAGAACGAAAGUUAGAGGUUCGAAGGCGAUCAGAUACCGCCCUAGUUCUAACCAUAAACGAUGCCAGCUAGCGAUCCGCCGACGUUCCUCCGAUGACUCGGCGGGCAGCUUCCGGGAAACCAAAGCUUUUGGGUUCCGGGGGAAGUAUGGUUGCAAAGCUGAAACUUAAAGGAAUUGACGGAAGGGCACCACCAGGAGUGGAGCCUGCGGCUUAAUUUGACUCAACACGGGACACCUCACCAGGCCCGGACACCGGAAGGAUUGACAGAUUGAUAGCUCUUUCUUGAUUCGGUGGGUGGUGGUGCAUGGCCGU
rnacentral:rRNA from 1 species